rnacentral:lncRNA from 1 species
CACCUUGGUUUCCAUAUCCUGGUCCACCACCACCAUAGCCCCCUCUACUACCAUAAAAUUGCCAGAUCCACCUCCACGACCUGUCCGUGAUCCAGCGGACUGCAUCUCUUGUUUAGAAAGGGCCUUUUUCACUUCACAAUUAUGCCCAUUAAUAGUGUGGUAUUUCUGAACAACAAUUUUAUCAACUGUAUCAUGAUCAUCAAAAGUUACAAAAGCAGAUCCUCUCUUUUUUCCACUCUGCCUCUCUUGCAUAACUUCUAUGGUUUCAAUCUUGCCAUACUUUUCAAAGUAGUCUCUCAAAUUAUAUUC